AGAGCGAACGCUGGCGGCAGGCCUAACACAUGCAAGUCGAACGGACUCUUCGGAGUUAGUGGCGGACGGGUGAGUAACACGUGGGAACGUGCCUUUUGGUUCGGAAUAGCUCCUGGAAACGGGUGGUAAUGCCGAAUGUGCCCCCUCCUUUGAUCGGGGGGGUGGGAAAGAUUUAUCGCCAUUAGAGCGGCCCGCGUCUGAUUAGCUAGUUGGUGAGGUAAAGGCUCACCAAGGCGACGAUCAGUAGCUGGUCUGAGAGGAUGACCAGCCACAUUGGGACUGAGACACGGCCCAAACUCCUACGGGAGCAGCAGUGGGAAUCUUGCGCAAUGGGCGAAAGCCUGACGCAGCCAUGCCGCGUGAAUGAUGAAGUCUUAGGAUUGUAAAAUUCUUUCACGGGACGAUAAUGACGGUACCGGAGAAGAAGCCCGAUAACUCGUGCCAGCAGCCGC
rnacentral:rRNA from 1 species